AAAGGGAUACUUCUUCGGACAAUAUCAAGGUGCUGCAUGGUUGUCGUCAGCUCGUGCCGUGAGGUGUCGGGUUAAGUCCCAUAACGAGCGCAACCCUAUUGCUAGUUACCAUCAUUAAGUUGGGGACUCUAGCGAGACUGCCAGUGAUAAACUGGAGGAAGGUGGGGAUGACGUCAAAUCAUCAUGCCCCUUAUGACCUGGGCUACAAACGUGAUACAAUGGCUGGAACAAAGGGAUGCGAAGCAGUGAUGUGGAGCGAAACCCAUAAAAACAGUCUCAGUUCGGAUUGAAGUCUGCAACUCGACUUCAUGAAGUCGGAAUCGCUAGUAAUCGUGAAUCAGAAUGUCACGGUGAAUACGUUCCCGGGCCUU
rnacentral:rRNA from 1 species